rnacentral:rRNA from 1 species
AUGUGGAUCGCACUAGUACUAUUUCAGUAUUUCUUGCUUGCUUGUUUGCUUCUUCUUUCUCCUGAAGCAGGCGAGCUGAUUUUCUGCUUUUGGUUUCUGCAGCAAUUGGAGGAGGAGUUGGUGUCGAGGACUGGACCGGAUGUGCCUUCAUGCAUGAUCUACAGCGCCCUUGAUCUCAGGACCAUGAGCGGAGGCUGGAGCAGAUCUAAAGGGCGUUCUAGGGCCUCGAGGGCUCCCACGUCUAUCCCUUCCAGUAUGCUUCGACGGGAGCAUCUGCGGAGAGGGUUAGGGAGUGGGUCUCAGAGCUGGCUCAUCCACUUGGAGGUACGCACCUUGUUAAAUCUAGGUGCAACUUAUCAUCAGAUUUUCUUUGAAACUUGGCGUUGA